UGGUUCUGGCAUCGAUGAAGAACGCAGCGAAAUGCGAUAAAUAAUGUGAAUUGCAGAAUUCAGUGAAUCAUCGAGUUUUUGAACGCACAUUGCGCCCGCCAGCAUUCUGGCGGGCAUGCCUGUUCGAGCGUCAUUUCAACCCUCAAGCACUAGCUGCUUGGUGCUGGGGACGUGCGCACCUUCGUGUCCGCGCGCCCUGAAGUAUAGUGGCGGGGUUCCCCGUGGUCCCGGGCGUAGUAUCAACUCCUCGCCCAGGGAGCCGCGUGGUCCCCCGGCCGUUAAAUAAAUCCCGCCGCCUUGGCGGACACAAGGUUGACCUCGGAUCAGGUAGGAAUACCCGCUGA
rnacentral:misc_RNA from 1 species